UACACAUGCAGUCGAGCGGUAACAGGGGAGCUUGCUCUNGNCUGACGAGCGGCGGACGGGUGAGUANACGCGUAGGAAUCUACCUAGUAGAGGGGGACAACAUGUGGAAACGCAUGCUAAUACCGCAUACACCCUAAGGGGAAAGGAGGGGACUCUUCGGAGCCUUCCGCUAUUAGAUGAGCCUGCGUGAGAUUAGCUAGUUGGUAGGGUAAAGGCCUACCAAGGCGACGAUCUCUAACUGGUCUGAGAGGAUGACCAGUCACACUGGGACUGAGACACGGCCCAGACUCCUACGGGAGGCAGCAGUGGGGAAUAUUGGACAAUGGGCGGA
rnacentral:rRNA from 1 species